GUGAUCAGCACUCAACACAGACCACCGGCCAUGGAAUUUUGGCUGAGCUGGGUUUUCCUUGUAGCUGUUUUGAAAGGUGUCCAGUGUGAAGUGCAGCUGGUGGAGUCUGGGAGAGGCUUGGUCCAGCCUGGGGGGUCCCUAAGACUCUCCUGUGCAGUCUCUGGAUUCACCUUCAGUGACCACUACAUGAGCUGGGUCCGCCAGGCUCCAGGGAAGGGGCCGGAGUGGGUAGGUUUCAUGAGAAACAAAGCUAAUGGUGGGAGAACAGAAUACGCCGCGUCUGGGAAAGGCAGAUUCACUAUCUCAAGAGAUGAUUCCAAAAGCAUCGCCAGUCUGCAAAUGAGCAGCCUGAAAACCGAGGACACGGCCGUGUAUUACUGUGCCAGAAACACAGUGAGGGGAGGUCAGUGUGAGCCCAGAAACAAACCUCCCUACAGGGGCGCGUGGAUCCCCCAGGGGGCGCGCUGCAGGAGUCGGCGGCCAGCGCGGAGCAGAGGAAGAGGCCGUGACAGCCACAGAGAGAAGGAGAAGAACACGCAGCUGAAGACGAGGAUGGAGGAGCCGGAGGCCGAGCUCCGAGAAAAGGAGGCAGAGCUGGAAGAUCUCCCAAAACAAAGUGAACUCACACCUCAGCUCACGUCAGAGCGCGACGGUCUCUCUGAGAAGAUGGAGGCCGCAGAGAGACGAUCAAAACCUGGAAGACAAAGCGCGUUCCCUAAAGACAGACGCUGA